UGUUGACUCUUAUAGAGUGCAUCAAGUGGACCCACUAGCAUACAAUUGGCUACAAGAACAUCUAAGCAUGUCCUGAGUACUCCGCCCAUCGAGGAUCAAAUGAAAAGGUAUGAAAAAACAAACCAGGAGAAGAAACUAAUAAGCAAUUUGUCCUUGCGAUAAUGGCAGUCCAAACAGACAAUUGAAACACACAUAAAACGAGAAGUUAAGCCAACAAUUCAUUCCUUUUCGUCUUUAUGUGUACAAUCCUAGAACUGCAGCUGUCAUCUUCAAGAUCUCAGCUAGUCACAUUGAUGCAAAUGUGGGUCAGACAAUUAGUCGAACACCUGGGAAGCGUCACAAAUACACUUAACAACAAGAGUUGGAAACAAGUAGGAGAAAACCGAAGUGUUUCUAAACUCCAACAUCACCCCUAAUGAUAGAAAUAUGCAUCUUUGGAGGAGCCGGGACUAACAUUGGGCGAGUGGAUGUGUAGCCCAAUCUUACUCACAAAACCAUGAGUUAGAUAUACACAAUUGCUACCAUUCUCAUGCCUUUUAUGGGUUGCAAUAAGAGACUUAUUCAGCUCAUCUCAAGGCUUCAUCCCAAGAUUUCAGUCGUUCAAGCCAGUGGCUUCAAUUGUUUCCUUAUUAAUGUGUCUUUUCUUGAUUCCAAGGUUUUGGCUACAUGCCUAAUAAUUUCCACCAAUUGUUUAAUUCUUCUGCACUACCAGAUAUUGAAAUGAAAAGCAAGGAAAAAAAGUCUCCCAAUACGACUAUAAUGUGAAAAUAUGAUCGAUUCACUAGUUCACGACUAAACCAAUUAAAAAAUGGUUGCAAGCACAAUCACUUCGAACAUUUGUAUCCACAUUGAUAAAAAUGGACAAAUCUGUGUCGAAAUAUUGUGGCUAGCAUCCAAGAAAAAUAACUUAAAAUCUUACAAUUUUUUCACCAGUAUUUUAUUCAUCACCAAAAAAAAAA